rnacentral:rRNA from 1 species
GACGAACGCUGGCGGCGUGCCUAAUACAUGCAAGUUGAGCGCUGAAGGUUGGUACUUGUACCGACUGGAUGAGCAGCGAACGGGUGAGUAACGCGUGGGGAAUCUGCCUUUGAGCGGGGGACAACAUUUGGAAACGAAUGCUAAUACCGCAUAAAAACUUUAAACACAAGUUUUAAGUUUGAAAGAUGCAAUUGCAUCACUCAAAGAUGAUCCCGCGUUGUAUUAGCUAGUUGGUGAGGUAAAGGCUCACCAAGGCGAUGAUACAUAGCCGACCUGAGAGGGUGAUCGGCCACAUUGGGACUGAGACACGGCCCAAACUCCUACGGGAGGCAGCAGUAGGGAAUCUUCGGCAAUAGACGAAAGUCUGACCGAGCAACGCCGCGUGAGUGAAGAAGGUUUUCGGAUCGUAAAACUCUGUUGGUAGAGAAGAACGUUGGUGAGAGUGGAAAGCUCAUCAAGUGACGGCAACUACCCAGAAAGGGACGGCUAACUACGUG